rnacentral:rRNA from 1 species
UGGGGAAUAUUGCGCAAUGGGCGAAAGCCUGACGCAGCGACGCCGCGUGAGGGAUGAAGGUUUUCGGAUCGUAAACCUCUGUCAGAAGGGAAGAAACCGCACUGUGCUAAUCAGCAGUGCCUUGACGGUACAUUCAACGGAAGCACCGGCUAACUCCGUGCCAGCAGCCGCGGUAAUACGGAGGGUGCAAGCGUUAAUCGGAAUUACUGGGCGUAAAGCGCACGUAGGCUGCUUUGUAAGUCAGGGGUGAAAUCCCACGGCUCAACCGUGGAACUGCCUUUGAUACUGCUUAGCUUGAAGCCGGUAGAGGGUGGCGGAAUUCCAGGUGUAGAAGUGAAAUCCGUAGAUAUCUGGAGGAACAUCAGUGGCGAAGGCGGCCACCUGGACCGGUAUUGACGCUGAGGUGCGAAAGCGUGGGGAGCAAACAGG